rnacentral:tRNA from 1 species
GGGAAUGUGGCUUAGUGGUAGAGUGCGUGCCUAGCAUGCAUGGAGUUCUGGGGUUUGAUUCCUCAGCACCA